GCUGUAGCUCAGUAGUAGAGCUUCUAUCUCACAUGCAGAAGGCAACAAGUUCAAUCCCUGGUGUCUACA